GAUGAACGCUGGCGGCGUGCCUAAUACAUGCAAGUCGAGCGAACAGACGAGGAGCUUGCUCCUUUGACGUUAGCGGCGGACGGGUGAGUAACACGUAGGUAACCUAUCUAUAAGACUGGGAUAACUUCGGGAAACCGGAGCUAAUACCGGAUAAUAUUUCGAACCGCAUGGUUCGAUAGUGAAAGAUGGCUUUGCUAUCACUUAUAGAUGGACCUGCGCCGUAUUAGCUAGUUGGUAAGGUAACGGCUUACCAAGGCAACGAUACGUAGCCGACCUGAGAGGGUGAUCGGCCACACUGGAACUGAGACACGGUCCAGACUCCUACGGGAGGCAGCAGUAGGGAAUCUUCCGCAAUGGGCGAAAGCCUGACGGAGCAACGCCGCGUGAGUGAUGAAGGUCUUCGGAUCGUAAAACUCUGUUAUUAGGGAAGAACAAACGUGUAAGUAACUGUGCACGUCUUGACGGUACCUAAUCAGAAAGCCACGGCUAACUACGUG
rnacentral:rRNA from 1 species